UAAGGAUGAUGUGGAUCUGAAGCAG
rnacentral:piRNA from 2 species